AGUAGCAAUACUCUCUGAUGGCGACCGUUUCAAGGGUGCGUAACGCGUGAGCAACUUGCCCUCAUCAGGGGAAUAAUCGCUGGAAACGGCGUCUAAUGCCCCAUGGUGAUGUCCUCAGGCAUCUGAGGUCAUCUAAAGAUCCGUCGGAUGGGGAUAGGCUCGCGUGACAUUAGCUAGACGGCGGGGUAACGGCCCACCGUGGCGACGAUGUCUAGGGGUUCUGAGAGGAAGGUCCCCCACACUGGAACUGAGACACGGACCAGACUCCUACGGGAGGCAGCAGUGAGGAAUAUUGGUCAAUGGGCGCGAGCCUGAACCAGCCAAGUCGCGUGAGGGAAGACGGUCCUAUGGAUUGUAAACCUCUUUUGUCGGGGAGCAAAAGACGUCACGUGUGGCGUUCCGAGAGUACCCGAAGAAAAAGCAUCGGCUAACUCCGUGCCAGCAGCCGCGGUAAUACGGAGGAUGCGAGCGUUAUCCGGAUUUAUUGGGUUUAAAGGGUGCGCAGGCGGAAGAUCAAGUCAGCGGUAAAAUUGAGAGGCUCAACCUCUUCGAGCCGUUGAAACUGGUUUUCUUGAGUGAGCGAGAAGUAUGCGGAAUGCGUGGUGUAGCGGUGAAAUGCAUAGAUAUCACGCAGAACUCCGAUUGCGAAGGCAGCAUACCGGCGCUCAACUGACGCUCAUGCACGAAAGUGUGGGUAUCGAACA
rnacentral:rRNA from 1 species